rnacentral:rRNA from 1 species
AUCCAGACUCCUACGGGAGGCAGCAGUGGGGAAUAUUGGACAAUGGGGGGAACCCUGAUCCAGCGACGCCGCGUGGGUGAAGAAGCGCCUCGGCGCGUAAAGCCCUGUCAGCAGGGAAGAAAAUGACGGUACCUGAGUAAGAAGCCCCGGCUAACUACGUGCCAGCAGCCGCGGUAAUACGUAGGGGGCAAGCGUUAUCCGGAUUUACUGGGUGUAAAGGGAGCGUAGACGGCAGUGCAAGUCUGGAGUGAAAGGCGGGGGCUCAACCCCCGGACUGCUCUGGAAACUGUACGGCUGGAGUGCAGGAGAGGUAAGUGGAAUUCCUAGUGUAGCGGUGAAAUGCGUAGAUAUUAGGAGGAACACCAGUGGCGAAGGCGGCUUACUGGACUGUAACUGACGUUGAGGCUCGAAAGCGUGGGGAGCAGACAGGAUUAGAUACCCGCGUACG